rnacentral:sRNA from 1 species
AUCAUGGUACACAUUUAUAAUCUCUGCUAUUGGGGAGACUGAGUCCGAUUGAUCCCUUGAGCUCAGGAGUUCUAAACUGCUGCAGGGUGAAAGCCAAUCAGGUGUCCCCACUAAGUCUGGUACUCAUUUGGUGAGCCCAUGGGAGCACUGGGCCACCAAGUUGCCUAAGGAGGGGAGGGCCAGACCAGGUCUGAAAGGGAGCAGUUCAAAUCUUCUGUGCUCAGCAGGGGAAUCGAUGUAAUUCCAGCCUAGAUGAGAUAGAAAGACCUAGUCGUGCCCC